GACGAACGCUGGCGGCGUGCUUAACACAUGCAAGUCGAACGGAAAGACCCUGCUUUUGUGUGGUGCUCGAGUGGCGAACGGGUGAGUAACCCGUGAGUAACCUGCCCUUGACUUUGGGAUAACUUCAGGAAACUGGGGCUCAUACCGGAUAGGAGCUCCUGCGGCAUGGUGGGGGUUGGAAAGUUUCGGCGGUUGGGGAUGGUCUCGCGGCUUAUCAGCUUGUUGGUGGGGUAGAGGCUUACCAAGACUUUGACGGGUAGCCGGCCUGAGAGGGUGACCGGCGACAUUGGGACUGAGAGACGGCCCAGACGCCUACGGGAGGCAGCAGUGGGGAAUAUUGCACAAUGGGCGGAAGCCUGAGGCAGCAACGCCGCGGGCGGGAUGACGGCCUUCGGGUUGUAAACCGCUUUCGCCUGUGACGAAGCGUGAGUGACGGUAAUGGGUAAAGAAGCACCGGCUAACUACGUG
rnacentral:rRNA from 1 species